rnacentral:tRNA from 1 species
GAUUGUGGCUCAGUGGUAGAGUACUUGCGUAGCAUGCAUGAGGCACUGGGUUUGAUUCCCAGCACCA